rnacentral:rRNA from 2 species
UGGGGAAUAUUGGGCAAUGGGGGCAACCUUAACCCGGCGACGCCCCGUGGGGGAAGACGGCCUUCGGGUUGUAAACUUCUUUUGUACGGGAAGAAGGAAGUACCGGUACUGUACGAUUAAGUCCCGGCUAACUACUGGCAAGCCUCCCGGGUAAUACUCAGGGGCGGAGCGUGUUCCGGAAUUACUGGGCGUAAAGGGCGCGCAGGCUGUGCUGCAAGUCAGCUGUUAAAUGUCUGGGCUUAACCCGGGCAUGCGGUUGAGACUGCGGUGCUGGAGUGCUGUAGAGGCGAGUGGAAUUCCCAGUGUAGCGGUGAAAUGCGUAGAUAUUGGGAAGAACACCGGUGGCGAAGGCGACUUGCUGGGCAGCAACUGACGCUGAGGCGCGAAAGCCAGGGGAGCAAACGG